rnacentral:tRNA from 1 species
UCCUGGGUAGUGCAAACAGUUAUCAUACUUGGCUGCUAACUGAAAGGCUGGUGGUUCAAGUCCACCCAGAGGUA